rfam:Dipodomys ordii contig_7269, whole genome shotgun sequence.
UGGCUCAGUGGUAGAGUGCUUGCCUUGCAUGCAUGAGACCCUGGGUUCAAUUCCUUA